AAUGAACGCUGGCGGCGCGCCUAAUACAUGCAAGUCGAGCGAGAAGACGUAGCAAUACGUUUGUAAAGCGGCGAACGGGUGAGGAAUACAUGGGUAACCUACCCUCGAGUGGGGAAUAACUAGCCGAAAGGUUAGCUAAUACCGCGUACGCUCCUUGGACUUCGGUUCAGGGAGGAAAGCGAUACCGUGGGUAUCGCGCUCUUGGUUGGGCUCAUGUCCUAUCAGCUUGUUGGUGAGGAACGGCUCACCAAGGCUUCGACGGGUAGCUGGUCUGAGAGGACGAUCAGCCACACUGGCACUGCGACACGGGCCAGACUCCUACGGGAGGCAGCAGUAAGGAAUAUUGCGCAAUGGGCGAAAGCCUGACGCAGCGACGCCGCGUGGGGGAUGAAGGUCUU
rnacentral:rRNA from 1 species